GGCACUUGAGUUUGUUUUUGUCUGAUUUGUAGACAAAGACCAGAUAGACAGGUGCAAAGAAUAAGUCCUCUUUCGCAACCCAGAACUCAUUGUUCAGUAUGAGUUUUGAUACAGAUAAGAAGGGACAUA
rnacentral:snoRNA from 15 species